rnacentral:tRNA from 1 species
UCCCUGGUGGCUCAGACGGUAAAGCGUCUGCCUGCAAUGCGGGAGACCCGGGUUCAAUCCCUGGGCUGGGAA